rnacentral:rRNA from 1 species
CGGAGGGUGCAAGCGUUAUCCGGAUUCACUGGGUUUAAAGGGUGCGUAGGUGGGUUUGUAAGUCAGUGGUGAAAUCUCCGAGCUUAACUCGGAAACUGCCAUUGAUACUAUAGAUCUUGAAUCAUCUGGAGGUAAGCGGAAUAUGUCAUGUAGCGGUGAAAUGCUUAGAUAUGACAUAGAACACCAAUUGCGAAGGCAGCUUACUACGGGUGUAUUGACACUGAGGCACGAAAGCGUGGGGAUCAAACAGGAUUAGAUACCCUGGUAGUCCACGCCCUAAACGAUGGAUACUCGACAUCAGCGAUACACUGUUGGUGUCUGAGCGAAAGCAUUAAGUAUCCCACCUGGGAAGUACGACCGCAAGGUUG